GCGGGAGGUGUGGAGGGAGAGGCGCCGGCGGUAACCAGGGCUGCGUGCGGCGCUCGCGGUCCAGCGCGAGUUCCGGUUGGGGGUGGGCUCGUCGGGCCCCACACUCCGAGCGGCCGGCCGGUGCCCGCGCAGUGAGGGGCUUAGCACCUGGGCGAGCAGCUGCAGAGGGGGCGCCAGGUCCCCCAGCACUGCCGGCCCGCCGUAGCCACGCUCGAAUUCUUGCCAGCCUCAGCCGCCUUCUCGCGGGGCAGGUCUCAGGACCUGCAGCCCGCCAAGCCCGAGCCCCGCUGAGGUGGCCUCCUCCACGCGGCGCCCGGUCCCAUCUACCGCCCAAGGCUGUCUACCAUGGCAGAUGGAGGUGGUGAAGAUAUCACUGAACUCAUGAAACCAUAGGAAUCAAGUCUUCUGAAGUAGCACCAUUAUCAACUUCCACAGUGAGUAUAUAUUCUAAAAACACAGUGAUAUUACAUGUGCAGCUGCAGAAAACCAUUCAUAUAUUAUCUUGAUGAUUAUUUUGAUCAAAUGACUUUUCAUCUAAAUUAAUUAUAAUAAUUUUUAUCAAAGUUUUCAUGUGCACAUAGAAGAGUGAAUUGAUAUUUGUGAAUGCAUGAGUUGAACUGGCAGAAGAAAAUAUUUGCAAACAGUUAAAAGCUGAAAAUUUUAUACCAAUAUCAUCUAAUGCAUUAAGUAGAAAAUCAGCUAACUGCAAAAAAUGAUUCAAGUGUUUUCAUUCAAUUUAGGAACUCAAAGUAAUGUUUUGAAAGUACAUUUCAA
rnacentral:lncRNA from 1 species